rnacentral:miRNA from 2 species
AGGUGAAGUGACUUGCCAAGGU